GCUGCUGUGGCUCAGUGGUAGAGCACGUCCUUGGUAAGGACGGGGUCAUGGGUUCGAUCCCCAUCAGCAGCU
rnacentral:tRNA from 4 species